rnacentral:rRNA from 1 species
CAGCAGCCGCGGUAAUACGUAGGUGGCAAGCGUUGUCCGGAAUUAUUGGGCGUAAAGGGCUCGCAGGCGGUUUCUUAAGCCUGAUGUGAAAGCCCCCGGCUCAACCGGGGAGGGUCAUUGGAAACUGGGAAACUUGAGUGCAGAAGAGGAGAGUGGAAUUCCACGUGUAGCGGUGAAAUGCGUAGAGAUGUGGAGGAACACCAGUGGCGAAGGCGACUCUCUGGUCUGUAACUGACGCUGAGGAGCGAAAGCGUGGGGAGCGAACAGGAUUAGAUACCCCCGUAGUCCCUGUCUCUUAUAA